UUCGUAGGUGAACCUGCGGAAGGAUCAUUCGCACAAAAUGUUCUUUACACACGCCACACAUCACAUUGAUACCCCCUGCCUUCAUAAAGGACAAUUUGUCCAGCCCGUCGAUGUUGCAUAUUCAUUGCAGCGUUUGCGAUGUUAUUUAUCUCUUGCAACGACGAAUGCCUUGGCUCGAGGAUCGUUGAAGGACGCAGCGAACUGUGUUACACAUCUCGAAUUGCAGAUUUCCGAGAAAGAUAAGGAUUCUGAACGCAUUCUGCGAGUUGCUUGCAACUCACGUAGCAGGCGGUGAGUGCAAUAUGCAGUCGUCUAAACUCAAAAGUUUGGAUGGUUAUCUCAUGUUGUCGCCAGUGGCGCCGACGUGAUCGGUACAGUCAGCGUGCCUUCGUUUCGAGCACCAAUUGCGUUUCACAACCUCUUGUGUUUGAUUCGAAAGUUUGCCAUGAGUUCGGGUAACCGAAUUUUUUUUUGCGCACAUUCACGACCUGUUACGGGAUUACCCGCUGAAUUUAAGCAUAUCA
rnacentral:rRNA from 1 species